UGGGGAAUAUUGCGCAAUGGGGGAAACCCUGACGCAGCAACGCCGCGUGAUUGAAGAAGGCCUUCGGGUUGUAAAGAUCUUUAAUCAGGGACGAAACAUGACGGUACCUGAAGAAUAAGCUCCGGCUAACUACGUGCCAGCAGCCGCGGUAAUACGUAGGGAGCAAGCGUUAUCCGGAUUUACUGGGUGUAAAGGGCGCGCAGGCGGGCCGGCAAGUUGGAAGUGAAAUCUAUGGGCUCAACCCAUAAACUGCAUUUGAAACUGUAGAGCUUGAGUGAAGUAGAGGCAGGCGGAAUUCCCCGUGUAGCGGUGAAAUGCGUAGAGAUGGGGAGGAACACCAGUGGCGAAGGCGGCCUGCUGGGCUUUAACUGACGCUGAGGCACGAAAGCGUGGGUAGCAAACAGGAUUAGAUACCCUGGUAGUCCACGCUGUAAACGAUGAUUACUAGGUGUGGGGGGUCUGACCCCUUCCGUGCCGGAGUUAACACAAUAAGUAAUCCACCUGGGGAGUACGGCCGCAAGGUUGAAACUCAAAGGAAUUGACGGGGGCCCGCACAAGCAGUGGAGUAUGUGGUUUAAUUCGAAGCAACGCGAAGAACCUUACCAGGUCUUGACAUCCAACUAACGAAGUAGAGAUACAUUAGGUGCCCUUCGGGGAAAGUUGAGACAGGUGGUGCAUGGUUGUCGUCAGCUCGUGUCGUGAGAUGUUGGGUUAAGUCCCGCAACGAGCGCAACCCUUGCUAUUAGUUGCUACGCAAGAGCACUCUAAUAGGACUGCCGUUGACAAAACGGAGGAAGGUGGGGACGACGUCAAAUCAUCAUGCCCCUUAUGACCUGGGCUACACACGUACUACAAUGGAUGUUAACAGAGGGAAGCAAGACAGUGAUGUGGAGCAAACCCCUAAAAACAUUCUCAGUUCAGAUUGCAGGCUGCAACCCGCCUGCAUGAAGAUGGAAUUGCUAGUAAUCGCGGAUCAGCAUGCCGCGGUGAAUACGUUCCC
rnacentral:rRNA from 1 species